AGUUCCCAGGCUAGGGGUGGAAUUGGAGCUGCAGCUGCCAGCCUACGCCACAGCCACAGUGACACCAGAUCAGAGUCACGUCUACAACCUAUACUGCAGCUUGCGGCAACACCAGAUCCUUAACCCACUGAGUGAGGCCAGGGAUCAAAACACACAUCCUCACGGAUAGUAUGUCAAGUUCUUAACCUGCUGAGCCACAACGGGAACUCUGAUCUUUUCAAAUUUUCCCAACUUCUACUUUUUUGCAUAUGUAGAUACCGAAUGAAUAUUUUCUGUAUUUAACGGUAAAUAAUUAAGGACACAUAUUUCAUCAGUCAAUGUUAAUUUUUUUAAAUUACUUCAGGGAUGUUAUUUUGACCUGGUUUAAGACUUUGAAACAUAAGGAGGUGUUCUUAUACUUUUUUAAAUGGAAUCAGGGAAUAAAAAUGUUCUUGGAGAUAAGCAAGGGAUAUGAGGGAUUUCUAUUUUGUAAGAAUUGUAAUUUUAGUGUUGGAAAGGCCCUUAGAGAUAAUGACCUAAUAUUUUUCCUUAUAAAUAUGAAAUGUCAGAUAUUGUCCUAGAUCUUGGCUAGUCGGUGGGUGGAGAAUGUGGUGAUACUUAAAUUACAAACCACACCCCACACACUAUCUUAAAAGCCAAUUUUUUUCCCCGGCGCCUAGUCAUUUCUGGUAAUUAAAACUAGAAAUUGCUAAUUGAUAAACUCCUGGGCAAACGUGACAUCCCGCGACAGGCUGGCCAGGUCCUUCAGAGCCUCCAGUUUGGCGUCCAUACUCGACGACUGAAUCCGUUCAUGGAGCUGCUGGGCGUUUUGAGCCUCACCGGGGACAAAAACAAAGCAAAGAGUCUUCAGUGGAAUCCACAACGGACAGAAAAGUAACAUGUCAUUGAAAAAUGAAGAUACAUUAUUUAGAUGAAUUAUUACAGGCUAAGGGCAGGGUUCCAGCCGUCGUGACCCCACCUUCACGCGAUGCUUGUCAAUGUCACAAUAGGCAUCUGUCGCCUUCUUUGAACAGAACCCAUACGUCCAUCCCAUGGAAGAGCGACAGCUCAGGAGCAGGGACGCUCCGGCAAUGAUGGCAGUGCGCAGGGAAAAUGGGGAGAAUGUUUACUUUGUAGUAAAAUGAUUAUCUAUAAGUGACAAAAAGCUAUUUGCUUAAUUAAGCAAUUACACAAAUUUAUACAGCAUGUUCACCCGGUUCAGUCAAUACUCUGAGUAAUAACUGCCUACACACAAUGUUCAAAAGUUUCAUUACACACCCAAAUAAUUUUUCAGGGUUACUGAAUAUCUUUCAGCACAGCACAGUGGGGCUUGCAAAUUCCACCUUUCAACAACGUGUGUUUCACAUACAUUAGUUAUUUAUUGCAUGAAUUUAAAACAAAAUAAUUAGGCAAACAAAGUGGCAGCUUUGCCUAGAAUUAGAGUUCUCCUUUUUUCAAGGCAUUUGCACUUGGCGUCUACAUGUAGCACAGAGAGGGACAGAAAUAUAUCGGAGGAGUUAAACUUCCAGAUAAUAAUGUGUCUUCUGUAUUUCUCAUCUACUCAGUAAAGGUUUUCAUAUAUACCUUUCAGUUGGGAUAGAGAAAGAAAGAGAGAAAGGAAGAAAGGAAGAAAGGAAGGAAGGAAGGAAGGAAGAAAGAAGGGAAAGAAAGAAAGAAAGAAAGAAAGAAAGAAAGAAAGAAAGAAAGAAAGAAAGAAAGAAAGAAAGAAAGAAGGAAAGAAAGAAAGGAAGGAAGGAAGGAAGGAAGAAAGAAAAGAAAGAAAGAAAGAAAGAAAGAAAGAAAGAAAGAAGGAAAGAAAGAAAGGAAGGAAGGAAGGAAGGAAGAAAGAAAGAAAGAAAGAAAGAAAGAAAGAAAGAAAGAAAGAAAGAAAGAAAGAAAGAAAGGAAAGAAGGGAAAGAAAGAAAGAGAGAAAGGAAGGAAGGAAGGAAGAAAGAAAAAAAGAAAGAAAGAAAGAAAGAAAGGAAAGAAGGGAAAGAAAGAAAGAAAGAAAGAAAAGAAAGAAAGAGAGAAAGGAAGGAAGGAAAGAAGGAAGGAAAGAAAGACAGAAAGAAAGAGAAAGAAAGAAAGAAGGAAAAAUAUUAAUUUUUUCUGCCUAUGUUUUUGCUUAAUAGAAAUAACUGAAUGUCUUUUGUAGUUAUUAACUUGAAAUUGCGAGGGUUGAAGCACUCUGCCAUCUUCAGAUUCUCCUCAGGUACUGGCUUUCUCCUUUGAAAGCUGUCAUAUUUCAGAGAAAGGGGAAGAUGGGGUAUCUGGUGCCAACAAUGAGGGGUCUUCUCCCAAAGAGAAACUGAUUAGAACUGUCGGAGGAGCCCCAUGUGGACGAUAACAGGAUUAAGUUUGUAGAGCAGAGGAAGGGAUUCCACACAGGAACUGAGAGCCCAGGGCUCCACCCCAGAGCCCCCCUACCUCCCUGUCCAGCUCCCCUUCACCAUCACCUGGAAGCAGCCCGGGGAGAGAAGGGGAUUCAACAGGGAAACCAAUGCAAUUCUUCAGCAACUAAGACAGAUGAAACCCAGGCUCCGAUCCCUUUGUCAGAGACAUAUGCUAUGGUCCCCCAUGUAAUUAUAACCAAAACCUGACACUUUGCAUCAGAAAUUAGAAGAAGGGGUGAAGUAAGGUGCAGAAGAAUAAGAACCGCUUUCCCUACUCAUUCAAUGAUCCCCAGAGAGGUGACAAAUGGUUCAAAUCCUAAAUUUCAAUUUUUUUUUUAGAAAGGGAGAAAGGAGAGCUGAAUGAGAAUCACUUCAUCUUUUUAAAACUGUUGAAAGAUGUCCCAUUCUCCAGUAUUUUCAAACGGAGAUACAGCAUUAACAUUAACAUACAAUAUUUAACCCAAAUGAAUAAUUUUGAAUUUGAAAAUACAUUUUUUCUCCCAGCAGGAAGUCCACAUUUACUAUAGAGAUUAUGAUAAUAAUGAGGACUCAGAAAUGACUGCAUUGUCAUUAUUAAUGCUAAUAGUGGUUGGUGCUGUUAAUACAAAAAUAAAAACAGCUGGUAGUUACUCAGCAUUUUUUUUUAUGAGCCACUAUUCUGAAAUAUCAUGAAGGAAUUCAUUCAACCCGCAUAAUAGUCCUAUCAGGAAGGUGCUUUCAUUAUCUUUAUUUUACAAAGGAAGCUGAAGUUCAGAGUAGUUAAGUAAUUUGCCCGGGGUCACACAGCAGUAUGGGAGCUGAGAUAGGACCUGGGCAGCUGGCCUCUGGAAAGAGGCUUUAAAGCAUGGGACUCACACACUGUGGCAUGCCUGAGAACCCUCUGGACUGCUUCUUAAAACACGGAUCCCUGGGCUCCACUCAGAGUUUUUGUCUCUGCAGGCCUGGGAUGGGAUCCCCUCAAGUGUAUGUUUAGCAAGCUUCCAGGCGCUGCUGAUGCUGCUGGUCCUGACAUCACAUGCUGAGAACCAGGGUUCUAAAACUCUACAGAGGAGUUCCCGUCGUGGCUCAGCGGAAACAAAUCUGACAAGUAUCCAUGAGGAUGCAGGUUUGAUCCCUGUCCUCAUUCAGUGGGUUAAGGAUCCAGCAUUGCCGUGAGCUGUGGUGUAGCUCGCAGACGCCGCUCAGAUUCUGAGUUGCCGUGGCUCUGGCAUAGGCUGGUGACUACAGCUCUGAUUGCACCCCUAGCCUGGGAACUUCCAUAUGCAGCAGGCGUGGCCCUAAAAAAAGAGACAAAAAAUUAAUAAAUAAAAUUCUAAGGACACUGCCUCUCCAAGUGAUGAGGAAUGCAUGGCCCCGCCCCACAGGGCACACAGGCUCUGCCUCUGUCUUCCAAUCCCUACCUCACCUUCUUCCGCUGGGGCACAACAAGCCGCCCCACCGCACCCCCCUGUACCAAUCCACUUGCCCAUUUAAAAGUAUACACUUCUAGGGAGAAACCCUGGCUAAGAAAAUAGAAAGAACGAGUCUGUAAUUGUGGAAUCUAGGUAGAUGAAAUUUAUUAUUCUUUCUGCUAUGGGGUGUGUUUGAAAUAUUACCUACUUUGAAGUUAAUGAAUAAAUUAAUUGAAAAUAAGAGAAGUGAAGAGCGAUAACAGAAACCUGGAGAGGCCAAAUGUCCCAAGCAGGGGAAUCCAGACUGAAACUGUCCCAAAUCCCAGGACGGCUAAUCAGUUGCUGCUGUGGAAAUGAAACAUGUUCUACUAAGACGAUCACCCACCAGCAUAACGAAGCAAGACUCUGACUUGCUGGGGGUCUCAAAGAGUCACUCGCAGCAACAGUAAGAAAGACUUCUCCAAAUUGUGUCAGACUGGAACAUCCAGUUCAUGGAUGCAUUAGCCUGAGAAGUUUCUACGGAACCGUCCACCUGCUCCUGCACUUGACCUAGUGCCUGAACACGAUACGGCCUGUUUUCACGGAGGGUCUUACCUUUCAGGGGAGACCUUCCUCCUUGCAUGGUUGCCAUCAUCCAAGGACUCAACUCUUUAUAAAAAUCUAGAGUUCCCAGGAUGUUCAGAGUUGGGCAAGUUUUCCUCUCAGUUCCGAGACAUAAGUAAACCACUGGGGGGGCGGGGGCAGACCAUUGAUGAGGAUGGGGGACUGGGCCAGCUUGGUGGGCUGUGAUGGGAAGCUCCCCGAAGGAGGAGUGAGAAGCAGGGGCUACUUCCUGCCCCGUCACUCGUUAGCUCUGGUGCCUCAGGGAACUUCUCUUAAUCUCUCUGGGCCUCGCCUUCCUCUUCGGUGCCCUCAGGGGCGGUGAGGACAUCACAUGUAGCUUUCUCAGGUCACAGAUGGUUUCUCAGGGGGGCAGGAACCCUCAUCAAGAAGUUCGCCAGGAAAAAGCUUGCUCCAGAGAUGUUAGUCCCCGAAGUGAGCCCCAAUCAAAGGAGUACAUCAAACUGCCGGGACCAUUUCAAUGCAUUAUUUUCCCAGUGGGAACUGGAACAGGUAAAGAUAAGUGUUCUUUUUAGGUUUUCCAAUUUCUAAAUAACGCGGAUAUGAAACUUUUAUUGUAAAAAAUAAUGGGAGAAUAAAAGUUUUAUUAUUAAAAUACUUGGGUUUUGUAAGGAAAUCUUACUUUGUGGCCUCCGUUAUUGCCAAAGACGACUCUGCACAUGAUUCUACUCGGCCUUCCUUCAGACUAGUGUUUACAGUUAUCUAUUGCCAAGGUACAGCCCCUUCAAAAUCAAAGACAGAAUCCUCACUCACUAAUGCAGCAAACACUCCUGGACUUUUACUCCCCGCUAGGCAUGCUUCUGUACAUUUGGGAUUUGGCAAGAGACAAGAGUUCAAGGUUCUUACCCUCCUGGGGCUUACAGCCUCAAGGUGGGGGACAGACAGGAAAACAGACUGAUAAUGAGAAAUUAAAUACUGAUGAGUUCAUAGCAAAAUUUAAAAAUGGAGGAACAUGAGAAAAAGGGACUGGUUCCUUUUUUUAAAUUUUUUUUUUUAUUUUAGGGCCGUACCCACGGCAUAUGGAAAUUUCCAGGCUAAGGGUCAAAUCGGAGCUACAGCUGCCGGCCUACACCACAGCCACAGCAACGCCAGAUCUGAGCUCAUGGCAACGCUGGAUCCUCAACCCACUGAAUGAGGCCAGG
rnacentral:lncRNA from 9 species